UCCGUAUUUUAUAGAUAAGGAGAUAAGCAUAUGGAGGUUACUACAUAAGUUUCUCAAAUUUACUUAGUAAGUGGCAAGUCCAGAUUUCAAACUUGGACAGUCGCUCUUCAAAGCUCUCAUUUGUAAUACUAUGUCUGUCUUGUCUACUUAGAACCUUCAGAUUGUGAUACAGUCAAGGAGGACUGUAUCACAUGAGGAAUAUUUCCUCUCAAGUGUGGGGACCGUAUACUCUUGGCCUCCAAAUUUCCAAAUAGAAGGGCUUAGAGAUGAAGGGUAGACAUUGGUGAGGGACUGGCUUUGGAGCUGCUUUUCCAUUGAAGUCACCUGUUUUCAACUUAGAAUAUGUGGUUAUUUGGGGAAGCUUAGUAAAGAGGGUGAUGGAGAUUAAUGUGGAAGGGAAGUGGCUAUUGCCACCAAACCACCUUCUUUGUGCUUCCAUGGGAAACUUACUUUAAACAAUCCAAGAAACCAUGGGUGGAAAAGAUGUUUACUCAGAGUUGAAACACGCUUUGUUAUGUGGGGUUUCCUGGUGAGUGAAGAGUAGAUGAAAUGGAAAUUAUUUGUGUGUUGUCAGGCUUUUUGUCCUAAUUCCUUGUAAGACCUGCAGUUAAUGUGAAAGACUGCUAAUUUGGCUGAGUGCUUUUGGACACAGGCAUUCUCCUUUCCCUAGUGCUGUUAGGUAUGAUUUAAAAAAAUAUGUAUUAGAUAUCCAGAUACAAAAUUCAAAGAUAGAAAACUGUAGAGUACAAAGUCUGUAUCUCUCUCCCUUUUUCCUUUAUUGUUUUUCUUCCCUCCUUGGAAUGAAUCACCUCUUCUCCUUUCUUUUAUGGUCCUUCAGAAUCUGGUGCUGUGGUGUGUAUGUGUGUGUGUGUACUAUGGGGUGUGUGUGUGUGCGUGUUAAAUAUAAACAAACAUAACACAUUUCCUAUGCCUUGCUUUUAUUCCUCUUACAGUACUUCUCAGAGUUUUUCAAUAUAUAGGCACGCCACCCUGCGUGCUCAUUUUUCACAGUUACAUAGUAUUUCCUUGUAAGAACUUUCUUAAAUUUAUUUAAUAGGUUUUCUAUUAGCAGAUAUUAAGUAAUUUCGUAUCUUUUGCAUGCCUGAUUAUUUUGCAUGCAGAUUGCCCUUAGGGCUCAGAAUCCUCUCUGUGGCUUUUUAUUCUUAGAAGAAGAUUCACAGCCCUCUAUAUCUUCUGCAAGGACUGAUAAAGAUCAGACUGUUGAAUAAGGUCAGGUUUGUGUCAGGAAGUUGCUUGAUCUCAGUUUUCUUGGAUAUCUAUUUUUAGCUUCUGAACAGUAAUCAUGGUAAGAAAUCUUUAUAUUUUGCCCUAGAUAAUCUUCUCUUGGAAGAUUAAAGUGGUCCCAUGAAAGGGUUCAAGGAACACAAUUUUCUAACAGUUUAGGGGAUUGUGUAGGGAUGUUGAGUGUUUAUUUCUAAAAGGACAAAAUGUGCACAUUGAAUGUUUAUUUCUAAAAGGACAAAAUGUGGAGAAAAUUCUAUCUGUUUUAUUCUCCACAACCAUUAAAACUUCAGAUCUAUUUUCCUAUUAUUCAUGGAGAUUUGGAAGAUUAUAUAGGAGAUGCAUAUUUUCUUAAAGGCAUGAUUGACUAUUUCUUUGUCCUUUGAAAAAAAUUCUGAAAACUCUUCAGGUUUACAAAGAAAAUAUUUCUUCACUGUCUGAGUUUUCUGUCAUUCAUGCAUUUUAAGAAUUUUUUUCCAAUUUCAGGAAAAGAAUAUUCAAUAUUAGUGAGUGAUAAUUACGUGAGAAAUAGACCAGCAAAGCAAUCAAGUAGAAAGUUCAUAGAAAUGUAUGGAUGAGUGAUUUGGUCCAUCCUAUAUUUUUCUGUUUCAAUUAUAUUCACACUAACUCAGAGAUGACAAAAUUGGUGCUGUGUAGCACAUACUCUGAAGAAAACAAUGCUGCAGAUUCUUUGAGAAGUGAUUUCAGAAUUUAAUAUUUUCCUGUCAGGAGAUUUAUGACCUGACAUUGAAAAUUUUAAAGGCUCAGAUCCAAAUACUUAGUUCAUUUCCUCUUGCUCAGCAUUUAGUAAAGAUGUGGAAUACAUUAACCGGAUACUGGUUAGCCAGGCUUAGGAUUCAAGAUUUGAUAUCCCUGUCAUCAUGUGUGAACUUUGGAAUAUUUGGAUUUUAAUAUAUGCAAAUGAUUUUAUAACGUGUUAUGUGUUCAGUGAAAAAAUAUUACACAUGCCAACAACUUAAUUUAAAAUACUACUCCUGAGUGUUUAAUAAAUGUCUGGAAUAAUAAUAUACCCAUAAUGAGCAUUAGAACGUUUUGGCUUUUUUUGUUUGUUUGUUUGCUAAAUCAUAUAGCCUCCACUCUACUUGAUACACUGCCUCACUUUAUCCUUUUUUGCUAGGUAUUCCAUGUUAAAAUAGAAAAUAAGAAUCCAAGUUAAACUGCAAUCACGUGCAGAAUUUCAUGUAGAGAUAUUUGAUACAUUUUUGGAGGAGUUUUGGGAACCUAUGUUAGCUAAUUUUAUUCUAUAUAAUUUGGUUGUAUGUAAAAUUAAAGUUCAUCUAAGUGGACAGAAUCAGUACCCUUCUGAAUUUAAUUAGAUGGCCAGCAUCCAAACAAGAGAUUAUUCCUUUUAGUAUCAUCCUAUCCUCUUUUCUUACAGGGUGAAAUAAUUCCUUUGCCAAAUUAUGUUGGGUAGUUCUCUGCUGACAGGUACUAUAGAAACUUGUGGCUGCGCUGUUAGCAAUGUGAGACAGAAGGAAGGAAAUGUGGGCAAGGAAGCCAUUGUAUUCUGGAGAUAGUAAUAUGUCUGCCCUAUCUCCACAUCACAGCUCAGCCAAGGGAACAAUGAAUGCCUCAUUUGCAGUGGAUCUACAGUGACAGUUUCUAAACCAAACUGUUAAACAUGAUGGUGUUUCUUUUAGGCCGAAGCAUUCCAGUACAGAGAGACAGGAGUGGGGAAAUAACUCACAAAUUAGAUUGGACUUGCAGUUUGAGGAUUCUACUAUUUAUAGUUAUGUUUGAUAAGGGAUGCCUGGAAAUGUGGCAAUACCUUGAAUCUGAGGUUUUACUUUAGGUAAUAACUUUCUUAUUUUAUCUAUGUGUAGCAUCAGUAAAACAGCCUAACAGAAUUUUAGAAGGGCUAGAUGGUAUAAUCUUCAUCAGUCUUUAUGUUCAAUAUCAUAAACAGGUUUUUAAUGUCAUUGAGAAAUAAGGUGACUUGACCCUAGGUCCAUGAAACAAAUGGGUUGAGUUGUUAUAGGUGAUAAUAUAGAAAUCACCUGAUAGAUAGAUGUGUUUUUGCAAUAAAUAUAAAAUAAGUUUAGUGAUAUUUAAUUAUAUGCCUAUAUUUCUAAUUUUGUGGCCUUUUAAAAAAUCAAUGAAUUCUGACUUUUACAUUUUAUAAUUCCUAUUUUACUAUUUAUGUCAUUUCAUCACAGAUAAAUAUGUGUUAGGCAGCUACUAUAAGGAAGGCAUAGUGGAAGAUUCAAGGAAACAUAAGAAAGGCCUUUGCCCUCAAUGGUUCUCAGAAAUCUGGUUGAAAAAAAAACCUGGCAAAAGUACAUGAAAUGAUUCAGUAACAAUAAUUAUACAAAGUUUAUGUUCUUAUUGUAGAUGUCAUGUAGAGUAUCAAAACAUAAUACAUUUGUCUAUACCCCUGUGUUAAAGAGCAGAGAUUCCUUUUUAUAAUACUAACAAAGAUAGAAGAAACUAAGCUUUUUGUUCUGUUUCACGUACCUUCUUAAAAUGGACAUUUAUGGAGUUCCUGUCGUGGGUCAGCGGUUAACUAACUCGACUAGCAUCCCUGAGGAGAGGGCUGCUGGCCUAUACCAGAGCCAUAGCAACGUGGAGUCUGAGCCUCAUCUGUGACCUACACCACAGCUCAUGGCAACACCAGAUCCUUAACCCACUGAGGGAGGCCAGGAAUCGAACCCUCAACCUCAUGAUUCCUAGUCGGAUUUGUUUUUGUUGUGCCAAAAUGGGAACUCGAUUUCCUUUAAUCGUAGAUAUCUUACAAGAUGGGUACUGCUAUUAUUAUCCCCUUGGAGUAGAUAAAGGAACUGGGGCAAAGAAUGAUUGUUUACUAGCUCACAGUCACAGACUCAUAAAUGAGGGAGCUGGGUUAGGAAAACAGGCAGCAGGGCUUUACUAUCAACUGCUCACCUCUGUGCUUUAUACUGUCUCUCAUUUUGCUUCUUAUUAGUUAACACCUCUCUACUUUAAACCUGAAUAGACAUUCAGUUUGCCCUAGUGAAAUACAGGCCUUAAGCUAGAAUCAGACACUUGAAAUUUAUUUCUGUAGAAAAUGAUGAUAUGUUAUUUUGAUGCAAAUGUUCACAGCACUACAUAAUUUAGUGAUUAAAUUAAUCCCCUUUGGUGAGGUGGGGAUGUUCUAGGAGGAUAACACCCUAACUUUAGGAAGUUGAGAGCUGCAUAUUUAUGCAAAUGUGCAUUUUCUCUGCCUCCUCCAUCUCAUCUCUUCCUGGGAAGAUCCUUGUGAUUACAUGUGUCACAAGAGACUCAGUUACAGCCUUGGGUGUUCACACACUGAAGCGUACGUUUAGAGACUGAGUGGGUAUAUUUGCUUUCAGAACUGGUCCUUGCCCAGUACUCCUUUUCAUCUGUACCAGCGAAUCUCCACCUUCAGCAUGCAUCAGAAGCAGCUGGAACACUUAUAAAAUAACACAGAUUACCUGUCCUUCCUCCAGAGUUUGGGUUCAGUGGGCCAAGGGAGGGACCUGAAAACUGGCUUUUCUAAGUACCCAGUGAAGGUGAAGCUGCUCGUCUGGAGACCACACUUUGAGAACCAUGGAUUCACCCUAAAAUUGUAACUGAAAGGAUUUAAGUUAUUCCUCCCCUUCCUUCUCUUUGCUUUUAAGCCAGUGCUCACUCCUAAAAUGCCUAGCUAUUUAUUUACAAGGAUUAGAAAACUUGGUGAACAGCCUUCUUGGGCCCUGGAAAAUUCCAAUAAAUCUGUUGAUAAUAUAAUGAUCAUUGAUAAGAUAUAGCAAUUUUGAUAAUAACUGACUGCAUUUAUUGAGUGCUUACUACAUCGCCAGGCCCUUGGUUGGGCCCAUUGCCUGUGUUAGCUUACAUAAUAAAACAAAAAGCAUAGGGAUCGGGGCUGUUCUUAUCUUAUCUUUAUUUUGGAUUUGGAAACUAAGGUUUAGAGAACCACCUUACUUUCUCAAAAUUAUGUAUACAACCUGAGGUAGAGCUAAAAUUGCAACCCAGAUAAUGGAUGAGUUCAAAAAGCUAUGCUCUUGGCCACCAUGUUUUUGAAAAUCUACAGGGAUGAGCUGAAUUUGAGUUAGGCUUAAAGUUUCAGCACCAAGUGUUCUCAUUUUCAUUUCUCCUUUUAUUGAAGCACCCUUAGGUCAGCAGGGGGAAAAACUUGCAUGACCAUAGACUUUUCAGAGGAAUUGUAAAAAAUGAAAAUUGCUGCUUGGAAUAUGACUUCAUCAUUUGUAGUGGUCCUCUUCAAAUUUCAAGAACUAAAAGAUUAAUGUUAAGAAAAUAAAUAUUCAUGGCUUACUUCUCAAUUAUUUGCUCCUGUCUUGAAAUAAGAAUUUCAAGAAGAGAGUGUUAAACUUUUUGAGGACAUAGAUCCAUUUGAAGAUCAGUUGAAAACUGUGAACCUUCACAUGAGGAAGGUACACUAAACUUUCUAUACUAUUCAGCAUCUAGCUGUAGGCUCUGUAUGAAGACAUUCACCUUAGAGAGAACACAGCAGAGAAACAUGUUGGGCUUUUAUAUCUGGUGGUUCUGACUUGGCAUUUGUCUCUUCCUGUUUAUGUGACCUUUAGAAAGUUAUUAUUGAGUCUUAUUUCUUUGUCCAUAAAAUGGUAAUAAUGAAAUGAAUAAUACCUAUCUAAUAGAAAAAUGCCUACCUGAAGAGUUCCUGUCGUGGCUCAGUGGAAGCAAAUCUGACUAGAAUCCAUGAGGAUGCAGGUUCGAUCCCCGGCCUUGCUCAGUGGGUUAAGGAUCCAGUGUCGCUGUGAUCUGUGGUAUAGGUCUCAGACGAGGCUCAGAUCCCCAGUUGCUGUGGCUGUGGUGUAGGCUGGCAGCUACAGCUCCGAUUAGACCCCUAACCUGGGAACCUCCAUAUGCUG
rnacentral:lncRNA from 1 species